rnacentral:lncRNA from 1 species
AGCCAUCCAGAUGCCUGCAUACUUGAAUAAGCCAACUGUACUAGAGUAUAAACUCUGCCGGUCCUUAUCAUACCCUAUGCCGCAACCGCUUCUCCAAACUUGGUUUUUCCUUUCAUUCUUGCGUCGGUUGUGUAAUCACGUGGAAUGGCUUUUGUGUGGAAUGAUGUUAUGGUUGUCAUUGCUACCAGAAUGGGAACCCUUGCUUUGGGAGGUAAUACAACAACUUCAAAUGGUACAGAUGCCUUUGGGGACCCAAACUCGACCUCAAUUGGUGUUGGCAUCUUUGCGGAGGAUGGUGUUUUAAACUCAACUGGUACGGACAUGUUCAACUCGGCGUCUUCAGAAGUCUAAAUCUUGACCACAAUAGGUAUAAGGGUGACUAUUGGUUUCUUUGGAUCUUAACCUUCUGCAAUCAAUUUAAUAGAUCCCUUGGGGUCAAUCAUGUGAAUGCCUCCACCUUUGUGGUCUGGUAGAGGGUUAUUGCGGACAUUCGGAGGAAGCUCUUUUGCCACGAUGAUCUUGUUAUCAAUCAAAGCUUGGAUCUUAUCUUUCAGGGAGCGGCAUUCAUCAAUGGUAUGCCCUCUCAUACUAGAAUGAUAUGUACAUGUUUUAUUUGGAUUGACCAAUUGGGAAGGAUUUUCAUGGGUUAUAGCAGGGAUAGGGUGACAUAACAAACAGCUUUGAGCCUUUCACACAGCUGGUUGAUUGGUUCGACAAUGGUGGUAUAUUGUUGGGGACGUCUGGAUCGAAGUUUGGUCGGGAUCUAGGGAAGUUUUGGCGAGGCGGAGGUGAUUGAUAGUGGGCUUAUAUGGUGCUGUAGGCUUGGUAGGCGUGUGCGGGUUGGGAAUAUCUAGGUGAAGCAGGUUGG